rnacentral:rRNA from 1 species
CCUACGGGAGGCAGCAGUGGGGAAUAUUGCACAAUGGGGGAAACCCUGAUGCAGCAACGCCGCGUGAGUGAAGAAGUAUUUCGGUAUGUAAAGCUCUAUUAGCAGGGAAGAAGAAAGACGGUACCUGACUUUGAAGCCCCGGCUAACUACGUGCCAGCAGCCGCGGUAAUACGUAGGGGGCAAGCGUUAUCCGGAUUUACUGGGUGUAAAGGGAGCGUAGACGGUUGUGUAAGUCUGAAGUGAAAGCCCGUGGCUCAACCGCGGAACUGCAUUGGAACCUGAAUAGCUUGAGUACUGGAGAGGCAGGCGGAAUUCCUAGUGUAGCGGUGAAAUGCGUAGAUAUUAGGAAGAACACCAGUGGCGAAGGCAGCCUGCUAGACAGACACUGACGUUGAGGCUCGAAAGCGUGGGGAGCAAACAGGAUUAGAUACCCCAGUAGUC